ACUCCUACGGGAGGCAGCAGUGGGGAAUAUUGCGCAAUGGGCGAAAGCCUGACGCAGCAACGCCGCGUGCGGGAUGACGGCCUUCGGGUUGUAAACCGCUUUCAGCUCCGACGAAGCUAACGUGACGGUAGGAGCAGAAGAAGCACCGGCCAACUACGUGCCAGCAGCCGCGGUAAUACGUAGGGUGCGAGCGUUGUCCGGAAUUAUUGGGCGUAAAGAGCUUGUAGGCGGUCUGUCGCGUCGGAAGUGAAAACUCAGGGCUUAACCCUGAGCCUGCUUCCGAUACGGGCAGACUAGAGGAAGGUAGGGGAGAACGGAACUCCUGGUGGAGCGGUGGAAUGCGCAGAUAUCAGGAAGAACACCGGUGGCGAAGGCGGUUCUCUGGACCUUUCCUGACGCUGAGAAGCGAAAGCGUGGGGAGCAAACAGGCUUAGAUACCCUGGUAGGAUAG
rnacentral:rRNA from 1 species